rnacentral:lncRNA from 1 species
UGAAACUGAAGGUACAUGUGAGGAGAAUAUUGGUGGUGGUGGGGGAAAUAUUGAGAAUAUUGGUAGGGGUGGGGAUUCUCUUACAGUGUCAGACUUCAGGGACAAACCUGAACUGAGUAGAACUAAGAGUACUAUUUCAAAGGGGAAGAAGAAAAGAAAAGAAAAGAAAUUCUUUCUAAGGCAGAUGCUGCUGGCGUGACCUCUGAUCUUUAUGGGGCAUACAAGAACCCUGAAGAAAAGAAGGGUAUUGAAAACACUGAAAGUAUUAUGACCAGUAUAAUUUCAAGGCAGGUAGCUGCUGAUGCUCCUCAGCAAGUUGCUGUAGGGAGAGAGAAAGAUGCACCGGUUAAAGCUGCGCCAGAUGAUUGGGAAGACGCUGCUGACAUCUAUACCCCGAAACUGGAAACCUCAGAUACUGGAGAGCAAGUCCGUGGAGUGGAUGAUUCUGACAAAGAUGGACAUGAACAUGGAGUGAAGAAAUAUUCCAGAGAUUUCCUUUUGAAGUUUUCUAACCAAUUUGCUGAGCUUGCAGAAGAUUUUGAUAUUAUGUCUCUUAUAGCAGAGAUCUUGAAUGCUAGUGUGAAUGCUGCUCCUGCUACUGCUUCAGUUAAAAAAAAGGUUUCAACUGAAACUGAGGGUACAUGUGAGGAGAACAUUGGUGGUGGUGGGGAUGCUCUUACAGUGUCAGACUUCAGGGACAAACCUGAACUGAGUAGAACUAAGAGUACUAUUUCAAAGGGGAAGAAGAAAAGAAAAGAAAUUCUUAAGAAAAGAAAAGAAAUUCUUUCUAAGGCAGAUGCUGCUGGCGUGAUCUCUGCUCCUGCUACUGCUUAUGUUGAAAAACAGGUUUCAAAUCUUUUGUCCUCUUCUUCAGUUGCUCCAACUGAGGAGUCUGUACCAGUUGUGACCACCACUGAACCAGAAGAAUUAUUGACAGGCAAAAAGGAGCUGCAAGACUUGACCGUCGCGGGAGAGGAAUGAUGGAUGAUGAUAGAUGGAAUAAGGGAGGUGCUACCAAUUUCCGAACUAGCCAAGGACCAAAUUUUGGUGUUUUGAGGAAUCCGCGUGCACCGACACCAGUUCAGCAGGGAGGGAUGCAAAGAAAUAAUUCUGAUGCCAACAGGUGGCAGAGAGAUACGAAUUUUCAACCUAAGGGCUUGAUGGCUUCUCCUCAUGCUCCAUUACAGGUGAUGCACAAAGCUGACAGGAAGUAUGAAAUGGGUAAAGUGAGUGAUGAAGAGUAGGCCAAGCAAAAGCAGUUAAAGGCUAUACUGAACAAGUUAACUCCUCAAAAUUUUGAAAAACCAUUCGAGCAAGUGAAAGCUGUUAAUGUAGAUAAUGCAACGACUCUAACCGGUAUCAUUUCACAGAUGUUUGACAAGGCUCUUAUGGAGCCUACUUUCUGUGAGAUGAUUGCUAACUUCUGUUGUUCUUAUGCCUUAGUGUUGCCUGAUUUCAGUGAAGAAAAUGAAAAGAUAACUUUUAAAAGAUUGCUUUUGAACAAGUGCCAGGAGGAAUUUGAGAGGGGAGGAAGAGAGCAAGAGGAGACCAAUAAGGCCGAUGAGGAGGGUCGGGUGAAACAGUCUGAAGAAGAAAGAGAGGAGAAAAGAAUCAAAGCGCGAAGACGAAGGUUGGGUAAUAUUAGCUUGAUUGGGGAGCUAUACAAAAAGAGAAUGUUGACCGAGAGAGUAAUGCACGAAUGCAUUAAAAAGUUGUUUGGUCAGCAACAGACUCCAGUUGAGCAAAAUAUUGAAGCUUUGUGCAAACUAAUGAGCACCAUUGGGGAGAUGAUUGAUCAUCCGAAUGCCAAGGAGUACAUGGAUGCAUAUUUUGAAAGGAUGAAAAGCUUGUCGAAUAACAUGAAAUUAUCUUCUAGUGUUAGGUUCAUGUUGAAUGAUGCAAUUGAUUUGAGAAAGAAUAAAUGGCAGCAGAGGAGGAAAGUUGAAGGAUGAAUAAAGAUUGAGGAAGUGCACAGAGAUGCUGCACAAGAACGACAAGCACAGUCUAGUAGGCUGGUCUGUGGUCCUAGAAUCAAUCCAUCAGCUAGAAGGGGGCCUCCUAGUCCAAGAGGAUCGACUAUGUUCUCUUCACCUAAUGUUCGUAGUUUCGAUAGAACUCUUCCAACUUCACCACCCACACUUGCAUAUGGAGCAGGUUUAACACAAAAUGUUCCUUCAGAAAAUGUGUUGACUGAAGACCGUCUUAGGGAUAUGUCUUUGGCAGCAAUUAGAGAAUUUUACAGGUAUAUUUUUAUUUUUGAGAGAGCAGUCAUUUCUCAUUACAUUUGUCAUGCAUGCUUUAGACUGUUCUAAUUAAUUUUUGUUAUCUUUUAGUUCAAUGCAUCUUUCAGAUGUGAUCAUUCUCUGCGUGCUAAAAAAAUCUGCCUAUGAUUUGCUUAAUGUGAUUAUCCGUUCAAUUCUUGAAAGGAAAGUUGGGCAUGUGUGUUCUGUGCCUGGGGAAUGAAUAGGACUUGGGCGCAAUGGUUGGUCAUCUUCCAGAUCCUCUCAAAUCACGGAUUCUAGAGAAAUUUAUUUAGAGAUUAGUGAUGCUCAUUGUAAUCGUGCUAGAAGAAAUUCAUUACUGGUAGCGUUCAAAAACUCAUAAUUAUAUGCCUGCAAUGAAGAACUUUUGUACUGUAACUAUGAUUACAAUAUCCAUAACAUCGUGUAUGUAUUCUAUUAUAUCCCAAAAAAAAUGUAACUAUGCUGCAAUUCAUAUGUAUUUGUAAAUUAUUAGGACCUCAGAACUUUGCAUUUUCUUUUUGUAUUUAUUCCGAGUGAAGUGUAUUUUUUAUUUUAUCUUCCUCCCAUCCCUUCAAUGAAUAUUUUGUUUGUGUUGCGAGAGAAAAGUAACGAGUUAAUUGUAUAGAUCUAUCUAUGGAAUUGAUGAUUUGAUACUCUUACCUUUUUUAACGAUAUGUACAACGAUAAAUUUGCACUAAAUGAAAUGAUGAAGGGUAAAUUUGUACUCUAAAUUAAAUUAAAUUAUAAGAUGAUUGAAACUCAAGUGACAUACGUAUUACAUGUGUAAUUUUGAUGAUUAAACUUGGGUCAACAAUUGCUUGCAAGAGCCUAAAACAAAAACAAAUCCAACUGCCGGAUGCUUUUUUCUAGUUUAUUUUUUUGGUUCCAGUUAAUGGACAUUAAUUAAUCAGAGUAAGUACGCAAUGAUUCUGCUAUGGUACAAUUUUCGUUAAGUAGAGGGGUUUGUUUGACAAAAAUAAUCUUUAAAAGGUGGUAACGUGAUCGUUUACGUGACAAUUUAACAAAUAUAUUGACAAAUUUAUCAUGGAAUGAUUAAAAUGAUUUACGGUAGACAAUGAUGUAGGACAAGAUUGUGGUGAAUUUUCAUGAAGAAAAAGUAAAGAAAAUGAGAGCUCUAUAAAACUGACAAGGAAUGAUGCAUUAGAGAAAAUCUCCACUCAAAUACCAAAUAUGGCGUUAAAAUAGGAAGAAUAUUGUGUUGGGAUUUUUUGGUUGCUUGAGAAAUGGACUGAAGGAAGACAAAAGGACGUGGCGGGAAUUUAUAUAUUUAGCGCUCAAGCUUCGUUUUGAGCCCAAGAUACAUUUUUGAAAAGAGCGUGACAUCCCAGUUCAAACUCACUAUUUUGUUGCAAUGUUAUGAUGAAUUUUAGUGUUCUAAAAAUCGUAGGCGCUGGGCGGUGGCUGACCGAGGGGAUUAAUGCAAAAUCGGGAGCAAAAUCGGGAUAGGGAUUAGGCGGCCCUUGGGCGGCCUAGGUAGGCGACUGAGUGGCCUAGGCGGUCUAGGAAUUUCAGUUUUGUUAUGUUUUCAAGAAUGCAGAUCAGCUGCAUUUUUUUUUUUUUUUUUGCCUUUCUGGGUUUCUUCUGGUUCUCGGUUUGGCAAAGAGGAAAAGAGGAAGACGAUGACAUUCUCUCUCUUCCUUUCACACCAUGUGACCAAGCUACAUACUUUUCUUAUUUAAUUUUUUUUUCUUAGUUUCUCUCCAAUCAAAUUUGGACAGCUAGCAUCAAAUUGCUUGCUUUUUGUAAAAAGCCAUAGGCUGUCAGUUCUAGCACAUUGAUUUUUCUCCAGAGGUGGAUUGUCUGCCCUCCCAUUUCCAUACUCUUCCCAUCCCUUCCUGUUUGUGUGGUCACGGUUAAGCGAUGUCAAUAUUUUAUAUUCUUAUUACUUUUUGUUUUAUUAUUUUUAUAAAAAAAUCAAUAUAAAAUGUUGAAGUGGCUUAACCGUGACUACACAAACAGGAGAGGAUUGGAAGAGUAUGGAAAUGGGAAGGCAGACAAUCCACCUCUUUUUUCUCCUAAAAAAUGAUAGGGUGUCAGGUUGAAGAUGUCAUUGUCAUUAAGUUUUGGUGCAGAGUUCCCAUCUUUAUGCGUCCUAGUGUGUCCUUUCCACAUCCACAUAUUGAACACCUUUAUUUCUCUUUAACUUCAACAUAAAUUAAUAUGAUCUCUAAAAAAUAUUAUUAUGAACCACCCAUAUUGACAUCAUAAUUUUCUCUUUAUUAUGAACCAUCCAACCCAAUACAUGGGAUUAUUACUUUUAUUUUAAAAAAAUUAGAUAUGAAUUAUAAUCAUUCAAAAUGUCUUAAGUUAUAUGGCAUAUAUGCUUAAUGUGUUUUUAAACUUUGAAUUUGUUAGAUACUUUUUUUUUUUGUAUUUUAUCAUUCUUUUAUUAUCUUAUCCAUGAAUUUCAUACAAGUAUAAUUUUUUGUAAGUGUUAAUAUACACUUAUUUACAAGAUAUACAAAAAAUUUACUUAAAUCCGUCUAGGCCGCCUAGCCCCCGCCUAACCGCCUAGAAGCUAGGCGCCAACCCGCCGCCCGACUAGUGCCUAGCAUUUUUUAGAAUCUUGAAUUUUAGUCAUCCAAGGUUGUUUAGAAGUCCAAAACAGCAAAAUAAACUUGUAAUCAAUUUUGAACUUUUUAAUUUCUGUUGGAAUUCAUGUCAUUUUAAUUCCCUAAGACCCUUGAGCUUCCCUAGGGUUGUGUUUAUGUCUUUAAGCUAUUGGGCUUCCAAUGUAAUUCAUCAAUUUCAAAAUUAAUCAAACACCCUUUUCAGUUUUCUCUCAAAAUCUAAUGGACUCAAGAAUCCUUUGUUUUUCAAGAUUUACGUUUGUAAUCAUUCACGCUCGUGAUGCGUCAAUUAGUAUCAAAGCAGGGAUUUAUCAUGUUCUUUGGCAAUCGAUUAUGGGAGAAGCAAAACCCUAAGCGGCGUUGUUCGUAAGGGAAUGGCAAUAGAUGCGGUGUGCGCAAAAAGAAUAGCCCCGAGCCACCCUCAUCUAGUUGAUGUUGAAGAUAUUCCUAUUUUCUUGGGAAGUGAUUGCAUUAAAGGUUUUCUCUUGUGGGUUGAGGAUGUAGAGAAACUUUUCAAGAUACAACCAAUUCCAGAAAGGAAGAUAGUGAAGAUCAAUCGUUGCUUCUUGUUUAGAUGGUGAUGUGCAUUUAUGGUGGGAUCAAAUGCAAGAGUCUAGGCGAAAACAAGGUAAAAUCCUAUCACUUGGCAUUGGUUGAAGUGACUAAUUGUUAAACAAUUUCUUUUUUUUUUUAUUUAUUUAUACAAAUUGUAUUUGGCAAGUAUGGGUCAAGCAAUCAUUAGAAAAGAAGCUAAAGUGAUGGAGAAUGAUAUUUCAUUAUGCCAAGAAACGGUGGAGGUCAAGGUGGAAAUAAUGAAUGAGUAAUUUUGCUGAUUGAGAAUCUUGUUGAAGAAGAUCUCCUAAAACAUGACAACUCACAAGUGCAGACUCAAGAAAUUCAAGGUAUGGGUGAUUAUGAAUUGCUAUGAUUUUUGGAGAAUCAUCAAUCUACUAAAUAGGGGUUAAAUUCCAUUGUUGACCAAACAACAAAAUUGGGGAAGGAAAAUAUUUUGAUUAUCGAUGGCAUAGUUCAAUCUUGUUUAUGGAAUUAAUUUAAUGAUUAUUUCACCUACUUUCACUGAAAGUUGGGCUUCUUGAGUUGAACUUUCAGUGCUUCUCAAGUCGAAGAAUUUAUUUGCUUAACAAGGUUGCCAACUAGCUAUCAAGAUCGUUUUAAGAAGAACUCGAGGUUGAGUUCUUUAUCAGUGGAUGAGUCUGAUAUAAACAAGAUAUGAGUCAAUUCUGACGAAGAAAGAUAAAGAAAAUAAAAUGUUUCAAAUUCUGAAAAAGAAUAAUUAAAGUUGGGAAAUAUUGGAUUUAAUUGAUAUGGUGACAUAAAAGGCAAUAAGAAGUAUUUUGGUAUUGGAAUUAGGCGUAUGAUAUAUCGUUUUGAAUAGAAUCGCGAGCAGAACAAGAGUCAUGGUCAUCCCAUGAGCCCAUCGUGUUUAAGGUCAUCCAAGGUCAUUUUAGACUCCCAAACCAGCAUUUUAAAGUUUGUAAUAAAAAUUGGACUUUUGGUUUUUCGUUCAAUUUAUGUCAUUUUAAUUUUCCUAAGACUUCUGAGCUUUCCCAAGGCGAAGUUAAGUUUAUUUAAGCCUUUCGGCUUCUAUGUAAUCAUCAUUGAAGAAUUAAACAAUAAACCUUUGAAAUUUUCUCUCUAAACUUGUGGAUUCCAGCUUUCUGAUUUUUGGGUUUACCUUUUAAUCCCAUUUACUACGUUCGUGCAGUGUCAAUUGGUAUCAGAGUAGAAACUUGCCCUGUUCUAAUGGCAAUCAAUGGUGAUACAAACCUUUGUUCAACAUUGAUUGUGGGGAGGAGGCUAUUUAUGUAAUACCAAAGAUCUUCUAUGGUGAUUGCAGAUAGUAUUUUGUUGAUGGGGAAUGCGAUGGAGAAUUUUCCUUAAGCCAAACUCGUCAACUUGAUGUUGGGAAUGAAUUGAAAUGCAAUGAAAGAUGAUGUGAGGACUUGCAAUGAUGGAGUUGUACAACUAUUUUGCUAAAUAUGGAUGAGCAACAUGGAAUGUGAGUUCACAUGCUUUUAUACUCAAGACCAAUUUUUGAAAAGUUGAUUGGCCAACCUAUAUUUGGGACCAUGAUUUUCUGAGCCCAUGACACAUUUAAGAUAGACCGGAAUGCCUCAGCCCUGUUGACCCUAAAAACUAUCAAGCCUAUGUGGCACGUAGGCCGAGUAAUUAAUGAGCUAACUACGUCAUUCGGUUGUAUGCGGGCGUGCCAAUUCGUCGGCCGAUGCGUUGGGUGCGCUGCUGACUUCUCGAUCUUGCGAUUACGGUCGAGGAAGGAACAUGUCUCGGCCUUCGGGUUCUAGAGCCUGAAGACAAGGCUGCUAGUUCUGUGAAGUUCAAUAUCAAAAUCGGCUCUUAGGAUGCCGAAUGUAGUAACCUGGUAACACCUCACUUCAUCGAGAAGGCUAAUGAGGUGACCUCUGCCAAUAAGGAUUUGAAAAUCCUUCUCAACCAAGACUUGGAUAGAUAACCAGUCAGCCUCGUCGCAGUGUUGUUUAUCCAAACUGAAGGUGUUUCGCAGUCGGCUGAUUCUACGGCAACAGUGCUGUUUAUCCAAACUGAAGAUGUGUUAGCGAAAAAGAAAAUAAAAAAAAUCUCAAAGUUGUUGAGAGGUUUGAGCAAAGCAAUUUGUGUGUUGAGUUGGAGAGGGCUUGAAUGAUGCACUCAUUCCUCUAUUUAUAGAACUAACUUAGCGCAAAAUCCAGUCGUGACCAUCAAUCACCACAAAUAAUAAUAGUUUUGUAGAGAUGAUUAUCCAAUGAGAGCCGUGGCACUCAACGUAUUUGGUGCUAACCACGCAUUGGCUUACUGCACGGAAUUAAUCUUUCAAGUUAGACCUCCACCUUGGUUACCAACUGGUGCCACCACAUGCUAGGACUAUUCUCAUAAUGCAUGAUGCUCAAUCCCCAGGUUGAAUGCUAAGAACCCCAAAUUAAAUUGAACUAUUAUGCUUGCUUUGAUAUAGUUUGCUUCACAUUUAUCUCGUAUAAGAAAAGUGUCAAGAUAAUUCAUUAUUAAAAGAUAAUUAUCAUGAUUAAAAAUCAUAAUAUUAUCCCCUAACAACAACAAAAUUAUCUUAACCUUCCUAUCCGAUGAUGUGGAGCUAUGCUCACUCAACGGUCUUGAUUGCACUGCCGAUUGUGUAAUUUUGGGUCCAAACAAGCCCAUAAAGCACAAUCCAACAUGCUAGGCUUAAGGCCUAUUAGAGAUAUUACUUUUCUCCCAAGUAGGAAACCCUAAUUUAAGUCAAAUUAGGAUAGUUGGGGAUUAUGCAAUGUAAUCAUGAUUCUAGAUGGAUUUGGUAACUUAUCCAAGAUUUCCUCCUAGAUAGACUCCCGAUUUGAUGAAGAUUACUUUACCUACAAGGACUCUCAAGAUCCCUAUAAAUACUCAAGCCUGGGUAUUCAUCAGGGAGACAUGAAUCUCUCUCUUUCGGACCAUUGAUGGAUUCAUCUUCUCUAGCAUUCAUAUUCUCUCUACGCUUAACAGAGGCUUCCACCCCACUACCAUAGGCUACUCGUCAUGGAUGGUUCACACCAUUCUUUCUUAGGACUACACCCGCGGUUUGAUUCUCCUUCCCGGAGAUAUCUAGGCAGUAAUAAUUGGGUUCAACCACACCUCAUCCCCCAAUCAACACUAUUCUCCCCUCGUUGGAGAUCAUGGGCAAGUCCGACUUGAUUUUGCCUCCGUUGUUGAAUGUGCACAAAUUUGGUUCCAACAAUUGAUGCUCUCGUUGAUAGAGAACUCAUAUUUCCCCAACCAACGUCCUUUGCCAUGAGUAAUGACGAAAGCCGAAAGAUCCUGGAAAAAAAGAACUUUGACUGAUGUUCCAGAGACAACCAUGAAAUCCCAAAAGUCAAUAGGAAGAUUAAUCUUUCAGGAAGGAAAUUGCCAAAAAGUUACAAUGUCCUCCAAACAUAAUAAGGGAAGGACAUCCUACAUGACAUGCACAUUUUGAUUAAUUUUAGAGAGGUGUAUUCAAUUGGGAAUUUGAGAGAUUUAAAUGGAUUUAUAAAUCCAUGAAUUUUUAUGGAGUUUAAUUGAUUUGUAGAGAUUCCAUGUAAAAUUUGGAUUCAAUUCCCUUGAAAUCUCGUGGGAGAGAGGUGAGAUUUGUAGAUGCUUAAAAUACAUUACGAAAUCUCUCCAAUUCCUUCUAAUUCCUCAACUUUUUCAAAAUCUUUUUGUUUUUUGUUUUAUGUUUUUUUUUUUUUUUGAAACAAAUGAGAGAAGAUAGGGUGAGCUUAGCCUUAAAAUAGGUUAAUGCAGUUCAAAUUCGCAUUGGCGAUAAUCGAACCUAAGUCUUCUCACUUACAAGCGAAGAGAAAUACCACUAGACUGUAAUACUCAAUGGAAAAAUUAAAUUCUAAAAUACACGUAGAAUGUUAUAAACUUCUUUAAAGUCCUAAUUGAAUACACCCAAAUUUCUAAGGAUUUUAAUAUAUUAUCUUAAAAUCAUAAUUGAAGACACGUUGAAUUUCAUAGAAUCACUUAAAUUCAUGAUUGAAACACCUAGAUUCAUUAAAUGAAUUAAAAUCCCUCAAAAUUCCAAUCGAAUACACUCAUUUAAAUGCCUUGUGCUAUUUUUUAUUUUAUAAGAAUUGAACAUAAUCUUAGGUAGAACCAUGAUGAUCGACUAAAUUCACUCUUUCGUAUUUCCCUUUUUUUUUCCUUUUUUUUUACUGCAAGGAGAAUCAUCAAUAGUUUUGUGAGUCAUUGUACAACCAAGCCUGGUAAUUGAGAGAACUAUAUCGACUCCAAUUCAGAAUGAAGUCCAUGCCAGUCACGGAGACGAACAGAAAAAGGAGACAUCGAAUCAAUCCCUACCAAAUCAAAUUGCUCCGUCUGUAGGAACAUCGCCAACCCUAUAAUCCUCGACGCCCAUUCGUAGGCAACUCGCCAUUCAACCUGCAAGCUCAACCCAACUUGGAACAGUAACGUUUGACGGAUUUAGGUGCACUCCCCACUCUGCCGAACCCUCGAUCAACAUCAUCGACUCUGUUACGACACACUGGAUCUGCACUAUCCGUUUCGUAAUCCACCUCAUCUUCUCAGACCAAUGCGGAUUGUUCAAUCUGCAGUGCUUGGUUGACCCGUGUGCUCUGCUUUAGUGACGUCAUUCGCAGAACUCAUGGCUUACAUCAUAAACUAGAACAUGCCACUCUCACCAGACCCGCAACGGAAAUCUAGAAAAUGACGCUUGCUCGACCAAUCUGACUAUUGUGAGGCAAGUUCGAUUUGCAACAACCUUGGCUUUGCACAGUAAUUUUGAAAAUUGUUAUUUGAAUAAAAUGGUAAGGAAAGACAACUCAAAAGAACGACAUCUUUCUCCUUGUUCAGAUCCCAAUUCAAUAUGUGUGGAUCACCACCUCUUUCUCUUAAAAUGCUAAUUGGAUGAGGAAGAAGUCCCAACACAAGAAGAAGAAUAAAAUCUUUGGCAAACGGAUAGGAUUGGCUUUCCCAAUCUUAAGCGACCAAGUCACAUGUCUUUCUCGUUGAUUGUGGGAUCCAUUGAGUGUCGCAUGGGCUUGACAUACAACAAAAGCCAUAUUGUGAAGGCACCUGCUCUGUGGUGCACAAUAACAAGUAAUAAGCUUGGGAAAGUGAGUAGCUUCGACUCCGACAACGACAUAACCAUUUCGACAAGCAUAGCAGAGUCUCAAUGUGAAAUCCCGUCCCCAGAUUUCACUAUUUAAAUUACGUAUUUUUGUAUUAUUAAUUUCAAGAUUUAUUUUUAAAGAAUUUUAUAUAUAGUUGGCAACCAUGCAUAAAUCUUUUAUUUAGAAAAAAAAAAUUGAAGCUACCUGAUGGCAGCGAAGGAGAAGGGGGGAGGAGAGUUUCAAGAGGGAAGAAAGGAGAGAGGUGGUCGAAUGGGGAGAGGAGAGAGGAAGGAUGGUAACCAAUAGAGAGUGAAAGCAAGGAGGAAAGGGAGAAAAGGGAGGAACACAGGAUCCCGAAGGAUCCGGUUCUAACCCGUCGGCCAACCCGAUUUGGUUAGCCAAUUUCGACGAUUUUCACCCCUUUUUCGGCGAAUUAGACCAAUCCACCGCUCCAGAUCAUUAUCUUGACCCUUCCUCUACCAUUCCCACACAAAAUUCGGGGAGAUUAGGUUUGAAAUUGUGGAUAUUUGCACCGGUGGGUGCAACGGGCUUCGGGGCGGCAAUCUAUCAAAUUCAAAGGUAACUCCGUCAGCCAACACCACCAAAAUACUCCCCUCAACCUCAAGAACAAAGCCCAAGUAGUGGUGGAGGUGUCAGAGUAAGUAUGGAGGUCGAAUCGGAGCACACCCAAUCCUAGGGUUCCAGCGAUUCGUGGGUGAUUUCAAGUGUUUCCCGGCUGAAUUGGACUCUAGCCCAGGUAUGAAAUUACUCCCCUAACUGAGAUCUAGUUGUUUAUAAAAUUUGGUAAUUUUUGGAAUUAGUUGAAUUUUCCAGCAAGUCGGGGCGGCCGACCGCCAACCGCGGCGGCGCGUGGAUAGUGGGCCGAUGAUAUCUUCUAAGUUCAAUUAGAUGCCCUGAUUUCAUAAUUGAUAUCUGUAGGACACGGUUUGAUAGUUUGAACUUAGUUUCAUUACGAUACAUCACUAGAACAAAAUUUGAAUCAAUGAUCCGACCGUUGAAUCAUCACCACAAUUUGAUACAUUAUAGUAAGUAAUAUUUGAGGACAAUAGGAACUUACGGAUUGGGAAUCCGACGUAUGGAUCUUCCCGAAUUAGACCUGUAAGUUUGUAAAAUAAAAUGUCGACCGCCACUUAAAUUUGUGAUUGGCGGAGAUAUGACCAUCGUAUCGUAGUGAGACUUUAGUAUAUUAUUCUAGAAGUAUAAUUUUGACUUUGGGAAGUUAUGGAUCGAAAAUCUGAUGUACGUAUCUUCCGGAUCGAAUUACGUAGGGUUGUGGACCUUAUCGUUGACCAAGAAUUGACUUUUGGUCAAUAUGUCUCGAAGCGUUUUCAAUACUAAAUUUAAUACCAUGGGAUACUAAGUGAAGUCUAAUGUGACCACAUUGGUUAGAGAGUGACUUGAAAAUAUGGGAUAUAGUUAUUACCUUGAUUUCUUAUAUUAAGAUCAUUUGUGAAUAUGAUUUGGGUUAUAAAUGAAAUUUCUAAUGAAAUGUGAGUAUUAUAUAUAUAUAGAUAUAUAUAUGCGCCAUAGACCCAUGUUUAUUGAAUGUGAAUUCUAUUGAAGUGUUAUUUUUAUUUCUGGCCAUCGAUUUAUUUUCAUUAAGUAUGAUUUGACUUGUGCUUCGGAAAUAUGGUUUGUAUUGUAUGAUUGGAUUGAUGUGAUGAAAUGUGAGGGCUAAUAGUGGACCGUUAAACUAUUGUCAUGAGGUUUGUUACUUAAACACUUGUUUCACAUCUUGUUUCCUUAUUUCACUUUUUGUGUCAUUAAGCCCUUCUAAAUUAAGUACUUGGUUCUUGUAUUGUUUCUUCAAGCUGUUGUUGUAUCCCUUGAUUUUCCACUCGAUUCACUGAUGGUCCGGAAUCCCUUCGAUUUUACGAUUCCGUUGAGUAAUGGUCCGGAAUUGUACCCUGGCUCGGAUUCCGUUGAGUGAUGGUUUGGAAUCCCUUCUAUUCUGCGAUUCCGUUGAGUGAUGGUCCAGAAUCGAUCCAGCUUGUAUUCCAUUGGGUGGUUCUAUAUGCAUGGUACUCCCCGAUUCCAUUGAGUGAUGGUCCGGAAUCCCUUCUACUCCGCGAUUCCGUUGAGUGAUGGUCUGAAAUCGUAUCCUGAGUUUGAUUUCGUUGAGUGGUUCGGAAUCCCUCUGGUGACUUGAUUCCUAGGAUAUGAUUUCAGCUUCAAAGAUGUAGGCUUCAGCCGAACUGUGUCGCCCUAGCCCUGCAUGUCAGUGUGUUGUAUGGGUUAUUAUGUGGUGUAAUUAUUGGAUGUUGUUGGAUGUAAUUGUUAUGAUUAUGAUAUACCGUUGACCAAUAUGGCUAUAGAUUAUUAUUGCGCCUCGUCGAUUGUUCCUUGAUAUGUUGCACGCUCUGAAUUGUGCAUUAUGUUGAAAUAUGAUAGUUUAUGUGAUGAAUAUUCGAGUGUAGUGAAAAGUUGAACUACGAAUGGCUUGAUCCCUAUUGAGGGUACGUAGGCAGUCUAACGAAGAGGUUAGAUGCAGCCAUAAAGUAUACGCAAAAUUAUUAUGCAUCUGAAUCUUAAAUUAUAUUUUGUGCAUAUCCAAAAGGUGGGGUAUGUUGAGUUACGAGCAUUUAGGGACAUCACGUGUCGAUUUUGGACAUAUGUCGGGAUCAGGGUGUGACACUAAAAAUGGAAAGAAAUUCAUUGGUGGCAAGCCACUCCUAAAAGAAAGUAUAAGUUCAACUUUGAAACUAAGUUUCAAGUUCCAUCAAAGUUCCAAACUCAAAUAUGAACCGUGAUAGUUAUACAACAUAGCGCAGUGAUCUUGCUACAACACAAAGAAUUACAAAAAAAGAAGUCUCAUUUCUCUACCAUUAUUAUUACUCAAUUUUCAAUUACCCUCGCUUAACUUUUUUUGUUUGAGCUAGGACUAAUUAGAUUAUUGGUGUAUUUUUGUUCACCAUUCACCUUGUGAUUCCAAGAUGUGAUAUUCCUAGAAUUUAGAGAAAAGCAUGUCCAUACAAAUUCGCACAAAACGAACUUGGUUCACUAAAGCUUGCAAGUAGGAAGCAAAGACAGGUUUGACCCUAUGCAAACCAACACCUCAUCACAAGUCUGACUUGUAAACCUCUCGACUAAAGUCAACAUGUAACUCAGUUUGAGUCCAUCAACACUCCAACUGGGGCAAGUGCUCGCAAAGCUCUAGGGUAAUGUAAUCGUGCCUGAAACCAAUUUUGCGCACUUGAAUGAUUUUUAAUGGAAAGUUGAUUUCCUAGAUGAAUUUCAAUAUAAUGCCAAUUGGAGACUUGGAGACUAAAGCUAAGACAUUGAAGAUUGUUGUAAUAAAAUUUCAUAAUUUUCUACAAAGCCAAUCUUCCAGGUUUUGGAACAAAGAUGGUCGAAGCUACAUUCCGGUAAGAACUGCACAGCUAUGGGAAAACGAAGAUUUCAAAGCCUUCCCGAUUUUUUCUAGUAACAUGCCAUAUAUUCCUUAAAAGAUCUUAAAUAGAGCUAUAAUUUUCCACUAAGACAUAACGGUAUCAAAUAUGGCAUGCAAAACAGCUGAAUAGUAGGCUAACCCAACCAGCACAUCGUAGCAGCAUGGCUAGCUUGCCAGGUUAAACUAUACAUGCUAAAAAAAACUGAGUUUUAUGCAAUAUAUCGUCCCGAAGAUAUGGAUGUAAGCUUUCUAUAGAAUAUUGUAGAAAUCAAUUUUGAGCUACGUGGAAGUCAUUAUCACAUUUUUACCACCCAUAACACAAGUUGGAAUUCUUUGCGAGAUUUUCUAAGUUAUUCCUCCAAACUCAUAUCAAACGAGGUACAACAUGCCGCAAUAACGUAUGAGUUCUGGAUGCACACAGUCAUCAACGGCUAACCUAAGGGUUCCAACUAAUACAAGUCAGCUCCAAUGAGCUAAAAACAAAAAUCAUCCACAAAGCACUGCUUGAUAACUCUACACUUGUCCUCCUAUACUACUAGCUCGUAAUGGAAAAUGACAAUGGGCAUACUAGAGUAAGAAGAAAAAAAUCUCAUGAACUUGAACAACCCAUACAACACAUGGUAGUUAUGGACUUGAAAUCCUACACAUGAAGAAGUUCGAAUAGUAUAUUACUCCGCCUUACUCUAAAACUAUUUAGAGUCAAGCGGAUCAGAGUAAGAAUGCCUUUCUAGUUUGGUCAGGGACUAAACAACUUUCAUCUCAAAGCUGCACAAAUAGAGCAAUGAUGCCACUAUCAUUCUGUUUCAGAGCCACUGAUGUUGAAACUAAAUUCACGCACUGUUAUAUGUGGAAGAAGUGCUCAAACUCGACUACUUGUAAAACAAUAAACAACUGUGGGCAAGCCUAGGACCCAGGGGGUAUGUGUCGACCAAAAGCUCUCCAACGGUCAAGUUAGUAAACAAUUUUAGACUCAGGCAGUGGGCAAGAGAAUUCAAGUGUUUUGGUUGCGUUACUAGAGAUAAACCCUAGACCGGUGUAAAUCCUUGUUCUAAGUUGAGAGAAUUCUAAAGGAUAUCUAGAAGUAGAUAUUGCACCCUUUUAGGAUGUAUGAUUACUUGUGAUGCACGCCAAUUUCUAAAUUGUAAGAACUCUAAGACUUAAUGGAUCUGAUUGUGUCCAUAUCCGGAUCAAAUCGAGUGUGUUGCGGAAUAAGCAUGGCCAUCCAGCAGAGUUGCUAGGAUUUCACCUAUUGCCCCGGAAUAAAGUGAUGGUGGCACUACUACUACGUCUGAUCCAGCUUCGCCCAGAGCCGGUGAGUCCAUGACCGGACUUCCAAGGCAACUACAUUCAGAUCAGCCUUACUCUGGCCCUGGAAAAUCAUGGACCAACAAUUGCCCCCAACUAUGCAUCUAAGAGGCAACUUGUUCCCUUUGAGGAUGGAUUGUUACCCAAGGUCAUGCCUUUCGGAGUAAGCUUGAAUACAAACUGUUUAGUUUUCUACUUUUGUGUUGAUCUGACCUUUGGCGUUAAAAUGGGGCUAUUGAUUCACUUUGGUUUCUAUCACACAACCCCUAGAAUCGUGCAAAAUCAACUGUAAUGAUGACAAAUGCCUCCAUUUCGUGUACACGUUUCACAAAAACCAAUCACAUGUUUCUUUAAGUGGUUUCGAUCUUAUACGCAUCAAGUCCCAAUACUAAAGACUUUCACAUUCAACGGCGAGAUCCUUUAGUGACUUACUUUAAAUAGCUGCUUCCCAUUUGAGAUUUCUAGUCAUUUUCACUUUCACACCAUGGAACCUCUGCAUUCUAACCAAAGUUUUCUUUCCACACUCAGUUUCCUCUCUGAUCUUUUGAUGUUUGAAAUCCUUCAACCAAAAACCUUCUUUUUUUUUUUCUCAACAAUCUCUGCCAAACGAAGCUAAGUAAUACCCAAUUUAGCCAUAAUUUCAUGCUAAUAGCCUUUGCUUUUUGAGAUUUGUUCCAUAACAUUCACCCCUCGUAGUACCCUUCAUGCAGUCCUUGCAUAUGGGUGGAAUCCUAAUAACUUGUUGAGAUUCAUUAGGGGGUUCUUCGUCACUGCUUUCUUCCUCAUCCUUCAUUUGUGGAUGAUGACGUGGGGUAUCUCUAUCAGAAUACUCGUCCUUAAUAUAGUAUCUUGCUCGGAAUACAACAAGAUGGGCAUAGUACACAAUUGGUCUUACAGUAAAAACUCCAUUAGAGUCAAGGAUUCUAGCCAAGUAGCCUUCAAAAAUUUCUUUUGCCAGGGGUGAAGGCUUGUCACCCCAAAAUUGUAGUAUCUAUUUGAGCCCUUUUACUCGGACUUUGAUAAUAAACAUGUGUUUGUGCUUAGACCCGACAGUUUCUGACACAACACGAAAACGACACGAAAAUAACAAGUUUCGGGUCAACACAAUAACUAAUCAGGUCAUUAUCGAGUGACCCAUUAAGAACCCGUUAAUAGCAUGUUCUUAACGAGUAUACACGCGGGUAACACGUGAGUAACCCGUUUCGACCCGUUAAGAAAAAAAAUAUUUUGAUAAUUUUAAAUUUUAAUUACUAAAAGAUUUAUUAUAAAAUACAAUAGCCAUAUUAAUAUAUACAAUAUAUUCUAUAUUAAAUAUAUAGUUUUGUAUUAUUAUUGUUCUAUAUAAGUUAAAAAAAAGUUUUAGUCAUUAUUUAUUUUUAUUAUGAGAGUUCCUUAUUAUCAUUAUUAGGAUAAAUUUUACUUAACAUGUUGUUGUCUAAAAUUAAAAUAAACUAGUAUAGUAUUUGUGUAGGCAAGAACUAAGAAGACAUACAUACAAGUAUGAAAAAUGUGAAAGAAUCAGUGAAGAAAAUAUCGAUAAUAUCGACGAAAUAUCGCCGAUAUUAUCGUUUUUUUGGGACCCCGAUAUUUUAUUAACUAUCCAACUUGUUUUCGGAAAAAUAUAUCGAUAAUAUCGCGAUAUUUUCGAAACUAUCGCGAUAUUUUGUAUUGGCUAAAUCGGAGAACAAAGCCGGAGCAAAUAGGGUUUCAGUACAAAGCCGAAUCCCUAAAUCCCCAAAUUCUAAUUCAAAGCAAAUGAACUGAAUCCCUAAUUCCUAAAUCCCUAAAAUCGAUUUCAGUACAAAAAUCAACAUGCAGAAAAAUCGCAAUCUGUACAAAAUUGUAAUUUACAAGCCGAGAAGAAUGCCGGAGCAAAUUAACCGAAUCCCUAAAUCCCCAAAUUCGAUUUCAAAGCAAAUGAACUGAAUCCCUAAUUCCUAAAUCCCUAAAAUCGAUUUCAGUACAAAAAUCAAGCAACAUGCAGAAAAAUCGCAAUCUGUACAAAAAUUGUAAUUUACAAGCCGAGAAGAACGCCGGAGCAAAUUAACCGAAUCCCUAAAUCCCCAAAUUCGAAAUCAAAGCAAAUGAACUGAAUCCCUAAUUCCUAAAUCCCUAAAAUCGAUUUCAGUACAAAAAUCAAGCAACAUGCAGAAAAAUUGAAAUCUGUACAAAAAUUAAAAUUAAAAGCCGAGAAGAAGAGAAGUAGGAGCCUGGGAACGUCGUCUUCCUCACGAAUCCAAGACGGUUGGGACAACGUCGUGCUCCUCAGUGGUGUCGACGGCUGGGACUACGAUGAAUUCCGGUCCAUCUCCAUGGAACAAGGUGGUUUAGAAGGCGGUUAUCGAGUGGUGUCGACGGCUGGGUUUAGGGCGGGUGAGAUGGGAGGAGCAAAGGGAGACACGGACGAGGAGGAUCGAGAUUCGAGAGAUGAGUCUGUGUGUGUGUGUGGAAGAACUGGAGAAGGGGGAAGGGAGGGAGAAGACUGAGAACGAAGACUCAGAGAGAGAAGAGAGAGAAGAGAGAGAUUGAGACGAUUCGAGAAAGGAAUGAAUGAUCGAGACUCUCUGAGCUCCGUGUGUGGUGUGCGUGUGUGGUGUGGUGUGGGGGGUCUCGAAGUGUGUGUGUGGUGGAGUGUGAGUUCUUCACUGUUUUUGACUGUCUGUGUGGUGGCGUGUAAGAAAAAAAAAGGAUCCAAUGAUCCAAAUAAUUCAAAACCAAAUAAUUCAAAACCUAUCUCUAGCUCUCUGAUACAAUGAUCCAAAUAACUUUUUUGCAAUUUCAGAGCAUGGACAACAAAUAAUACUGCUUUCAUAAUGAAAUCGUGUGACAGUCAGUAAGAUUCUUUCACAUGUAAAACAGUGUCAGUGUGUCAAUGUCUGUUAUAUACUUACAUUCUUUCACCUUAUCAGAGGUGGAGUAUCAGAGGCAUUCACAGAAUUUUCGUUUCUUCUUCUUCCCAUACCAUUUUCAAAACCAUUCCAGAUCCAUUCCAAAGCUUGAACACAAAGGGUUCCAUAUUUAAGGUAAGUUUACAAACUUAAAUUUAUAUUAUUGUAAUUUAUACAACAACAAAUAAAUUUGUGUGGACUCGUAUGUUAAUUUUUUUAAGUAAUUAAUACUUGCAUGUUAAUUUUUGUAAGUAAUUAAGUAAUGUUAACAAUUACAUGUUAAUUUUUUUAAGUAAUUAAGUAAUGUUGUAUAAUUAUUCCCUAGGAUAAUUUUAAUAUGUUUAAUGUUAUUUAUUAUUUUAUUUCCCUUACCAUUUUCAAAGUCAUUCCAGAUCCAUUCCAAAGCUUGAACACAAAGGGUUCCAUAUUUAAGGUAAGUUUACAAACUUAAAUUUAUAUUAUUGUAAUUUAUACAACAACAAAUAAAUUUGUGUGGACUCGUAUGUUAAUCUUUUUAAGUAAUUAAUACUUGCAUGUUAAUUUUUGUAAGUAAUUAAGUAAUGUUAACCAUUACAUGUUAAUUUUUUUAAGUAAUUAAGUAAUGUUGUAUAAUUAUUCCCUAGGAUCAUUUUAAUAUGUUUAAUAUUAUUUAUUAUUUUAUUUCCCUUACCAUUUUCAUUAUCAAAUUGGAUUAUUAUUCAUUAAUAUUAGGUUUUUUUAUUAUCAAAUUGGAUUAUUAUUCUUUUAUAUUAGGAUUAUUUUUUUAUCAAAUUGGUGGAUUAUUCAUUAAAUUGGAUUAUUAUCAAAUUGGAUUAUUAUUCAUUAAAUUGGAUUAUUAUCAAAUUGGAUUAUUAUUCAUCACUAUGUUUUAUAUUAGGAUUAUUUUUUUAUCAAAUUGGAUUAUUAUUCAUUAAAUUGGAUUAUUAUCAAAUUGGUGGAUUAUUCAUUAAAUUGGAUUAUUAUCAAAUUGGAUUAUUAUUCAUCACCAUGUUUUAUAUUAGGAUUUUUUUUUUAUCAAAUUGGUGGAUUAUUCAUUAAAUUGGAUUAUUAUCAAAUUGGAUUAUUAUUCAUCACCAUGUUUUAUAUUAGGAUUUUUUUUUAUCAAAUUGGUGGAUUAUUCAUUAAAUUGGAUUAUUAUCAAAUUGGAUUAUUAUUCAUUAUAUUGGAUUAUUAUCAAAUUGGAUUAUUAUUCAUCACCAUGUUUUAUAUUAGGAUUUUUUUUAUCAAAUUGGUGGAUUAUUCAUUAAAUUGGAUUAUUAUCAAAUUGGUGGAUUAUUCAUUAAAUUGGAUUAUUAUCAAAUUGGAUUAUUAUUCAUCACUAUGUUUUAUAUUAGGAUUUUUGUUUUAUCAAAUUGGUGGAUUAUUCAUUAAAUUGGAUUAUUAUCAAAUUGGAUUAUUAUUCAUCACCAUGUUUUAUAUUAGGAUUUUUUUUUAUUCAAAUUGGUGGAUUAUUCAUUAAAUUGGAUUAUUAUCAAAUUGGAUUAUUAUUCAUUAUAUUGGAUUAUUAUCAAAUUGGAUUAUUAUUCAUCACCAUGUUUUAUAUUAGGAUUAUUUUUUUUAUCAAAUUGGUGGAUUAUUCAUUAAAUUGGAUUAUUAUCAAAUUGGUGGAUUAUUCAUUAAAUUGGAUUAUUAUCAAAUUGGAUUAUUAUUCAUUAUAUUGGAUUAUUAUCAAAUUGGAUUAUUUUUCAUCACCAUGUUUUAUAUUAGGAUUAUUUUUUUAUCAAAUUGGUGGAUUAUUCAUUAAAUUGGAUUAUUAUCAAAUUGGUGGAUUAUUAUCAAAUUGGAUUAUUAUUCAUUAAAUUGGAUUAUUAUCAAAUUGGAUUAUUAUUCAUCACCAUGUUUUAUAUUAGGAUUUUGUUUUUAUCAAAUUGGAUUAUUAUUCAUUAAAUUGAAUUAUAAUCAAAUUGGAUUAUUAUUCAUUAAUAUUAGGUUUUAUUAUUCCAUAUUAUUUGUAUAAUUACUUAAAUUUUUACAAUCAUUUUCUUUACUUUGUAUUUAAUUCUUCUGUAGAAUAACUUUAUUAUUUAGGUUCUCUUAUUUUAUAAAAAAAUAAUUGUCUAAUUUUCAUGAAAAAUAAAUAUAGGUACGUUUAAGAUGUCCAGUAAACGUGAUCCAGCUUGGGAACAUGGAGACCCAAUAGACGGAAACAAACAUGGCACAAUUUGCAAAUAUUGUGGUCAGGUAAUGAAGAGUGGCGGAGUGACACGACUGAAGUAUCAUCUUAGUGGAUUAGAUCCAUCAAAAAAUGUCCAACGAUGCGAUAAUGUCCCCCCAGAAGUGAAGGCAUUCAUCAGCACAUUAUUAAAAAAAAACAGCAGAAGGAAAAGAUAACACAGGGAAUGGAAAAUAUUUGAGCUGGGCUACGGGGAGAAGUCUAUGGCCAAGCGGUUGACAGUGAUGAUGAUGACGAUGAGGACGAAUGUGAUGAUGACAUGGGACCUGAAGAACGACGCAGUUUGAAACAAGCAUUACGUGCCUCCAAACAGUCAGCAUGGGAAAGAGAACACCUUCAUAAAAUUCCUAAUAGGGGACAAGGUUCCGGGACAAGUGGUGGUGCACAAAUGAGACGGGGAGGCAGUCUUAGAGAAUCACAACCAACACCACCAAUAGCCCCAAGUUUAUAUAAGUCAUCCAACGCACGUCAAAAGAGUGUUUGGAGUUAUUUCAAGGGAGGUAAUGUGAAGGAGGGAAUGGGGCGUCUAAUUAGCAAGUUCUUUAUCUAUGAAAAUGUCCCUGCUGCGAAGGCAUCAUCACAUCAUUUCAAAAAUAUGGUAGUGGGAUGUCAACAGGCCAGUGUUGGAGUACAACCUCCCACUCCCUAUGAGAUAAGAAACAAAUAUUUGGAUAUGGAGUAUAAAGACAUUGGCGAGUAUGUUAACAAGUUGAGGUCAAAGUGGGAAACUAAUGGUUGCACAAUCAUGUGUGACGGAUGGACCGGCCCGACCAGAUUAUCUAUCAUCAACUUCAUGGUAUACUCCAAGGGAAAGACAAUUUUUUUGAAGUCUGUUGAUGCUUCAGACCAUAUAAAGAAUUACAAGUAUAUUUACAAAUUAUUGAGGGAUGUAAUCAUGGAGGUGGGAGAGCAUAAUGUUGUCCAAGUCGUGACCGACAACGGUUCUGCAUUUGUCAAAGCUGGAAAAAAAUUAAUGAAGCAUCAUAAUGUGUUUUGGACAUCAUGUGCAGCACAUUGUAUUGAUCUCAUGUUUGAGGUAAUGGGGAAGAGAGAGAAUGUUGCUACUGUGGUCAAAAGAGCUAGAACGAUCACAAAUUAUAUUUACAAUCACGGUUGGUUGUUGGCAAAGAUGCGUGAAUUUUGCAAAGGAGAAAUUAUUCGUCCAGCUACCACUCGAUUCGCCACCAACUAUAUUGCAUUAAACAGCCUACUCAAGAAGAAAGCAGGGUUGAAGCAACUAUUCACUAGUGACGAUUGGGCCAACCACAAUUUCAGCCGCUCAAAUACAGGUCGUAUGGUGGAAAGUAUAGUACUUGAUCAUGCUUUUUUGGACUCAAACAGAACAUGUGUGUCAAGUGUUUGAACCUCUUUACAAAGUUUUACGGAUCGUUGACACAGAAGUGUAUCCUACUAUGGGGGCAGUAUAUGAGUUGAUGCGUGUAGUGAAGGAUGAAUUGGAAAGAAAACAUGGUGCAAGGUGGGUCAUAAAAAUAAUUGAAGACCGAUGGUAUAAAACAUUAUACCACGAUUUGCAUGCAGCAGGUAUAAAUUAUGUCAUAAUUUGCAAUUCAUUUCUUUAGUUGCAUAAGUAUUAUUUCUCUUAUUAGAGUAUGUGUUUCUUUGAACAGCAUAUUAUUUGAAUCCCCGAUACCAAUACAGACUCGGUGUUGGAGAUGAUGGUAACCUUAUACGUGUUGUACAUAAUGUAUACUCUAAAUUAGACCCUGUAUCACCAGCAGUUGGCCAAUUUGGAAAUGAGAUACACAAUUACUUAAAUUAUAAUAAUUACUUUGUUGGAUUAAACUAACACAAUUUAUUGUAUUCAGCUAACAUGGUUUAAAGAUGCAAGAAGAACAUUUGGAGAACUAACAUCAGUUGCUGCUCGAACAAAUAUGUCUCCUAGUGAGUAUAAACAUAUUUCACUAUAAGUUUAUAAUAGAAUUUGUUGGAGUUAUUAGGCUUAUCAACAUUAUUUUUCAUUGUAGCUGAAUGGUGGAUCAUGUAUGGGACCGAUGCACCAACUGUGAGAAAGUUAGCAAUUAAAGUAUUAUCACAAACAGCUUCCUCAUCUGCUUGUGAAAGAAAUUGGAGCACAUUUGCACUCAUACACACAAAGCAAAGAAAUAAGUUGGCUCAUAGUAGCUUGGAAAAAUUAGUUUAUUGCUACUACAACAUGAAGCUUCAAAUUCGAGAUAAGGAAGUAGAAAUCGAUCAUGUCGACCGUGGUGACCCACUAGAUGUGUUUGAUAUUGUUGGUGAAGAUGAUGAUACGGAGGGUAACCAACUUUUUCAAUGGAUUAGACCUCUUCAUUUAGAUGAUGAUGAAGGCAACCCAGCUCCCAGAGUUGCUGAAGAAGCACGUAAUGAAGGGAUAAAUGUAGAGAAAGAGUAUUAGAGGAGGAGGUGGGAUCUAGCAGCUCUGACUCUUUCGAAGAACUUUUGCACCCAAGACCAAGAAACACUGGAAUUCCACCUUCUUCCAAUCCUACACAACCACAACAUCGUGCUGAUACUAAUGAUAGCUCUAGUACAAGAUCAGGAGACUCACCUACCACCGGAGGUGGGAAUGAUGAAGGACAUAGUGGAGCUGGAGGGUAGUGGUGGUGGAUAUGGAAACUAUUAUGGACCACCACCUCCCGGAUAUAUGAGCCCCUUCACUGGUGAGGCAAACUUCACGCAUGCAACACAGGAUGAUGACCAUGGCAGUAGGCGGGCAGGACCAGGAAUUUGUGCCAUAGGGAAGGACUAUAUUCGCAGAGAAAGAGGCAAGGGGAUUUUGUCAAGUCAAGAAGAUGACUCGUUAUCUAGAACUUCAGACUCUGUUGGAUUGGGAAGUAGUAACUAUGGUUAUACUCAUAACCAACCAUUUCCCUACCCUUCAUAUCCCAUUCCUGUUGGGAUGGAAUCGAGCGACUCAUGGAAACAAUCCCAGCCUCAAUCUUCAAAUGAUUUUUCUUAUGGACAACCUCAACCAAUCUCGGAUCCAUAUGGGUGGUAUAUUAACAAUUACAUGCAAAACUAUUUUGGGGAUUUAUCAUUUGAUAACUACUCUUCACAAUACACUCAUUCUACACAUAGAGAUGAUGAAGAUAGUGAAAAAUUUGAACCUCAUAGGAACUCUAUGUGGUACUAAAGUGUAAAAUAUUGUACUAAUUCAUUAUAUAUAAAUGAUUAUGGUGUGUUUAGACUUCUUUCAUUAAUUACUACAUAUUUUCUACACUCACAAUAUUUGUCAGAUCGCUAUGUAAUCAACUUGAUAAUGUUAAAUCCAUCAUGCAAUGCAUUUCCUUCCAAUUUUUUGUGAUAAAUUAAUAGAUAAUUGACUAAAUAAACAUCCUACAAAGUUUCAAUAAAAAUUUCCAAGUUUUUCUUACAAUUUCCGUGGUUUCCAUGUAAUUUUUAUCGAUAUCGAUAUUUACCGAUAUUUCCAUCGAUAUUUCCGUGUUUUCGGACUACCGAUAUUUCCGAUAUUACCGAUAUCUUCUUCCUUGGAAAGAAUAUAUAAACAUUUGUGAUUCAUCAUUAUAACUCCACGAGUAGAUAAUGGUUACACUUACAUUAUCAAUUAGAUUUUUAAAAUCCUCCGAACCCUCAUGAAUAAUGUUUUUUAUUUGAGGGCAAAAUCAAUAAUAACUAUUGUAGAAGUGUAAAAAAAUGUAAAAAAAAAAUAUACAAUCACUCAUAAUGACAAGCUUUACAACUUUCAUGAAGGGGUCAGCUUCAAAAUCCAACACUAUAAUCCAUAAACCUUAAAUUUAUAUUUAACCAUCGAUUGUCAUUUACGUUUUAUUCUUCUUACUGAAUUUCAUUUUUAACAUUUUCUUUUUUGAAAACGUGAUCAUUUGGCGAAUGUAAGAAGAUGAAUGGUUCAGAUCUUUGAUAUCACGAUUUUGAUAUUUACGAUUAACUGAAAUAUGAGUUGAUGUCAUAUAGUUUGUAGAAACUUUAUAAACAUCAAGCAAUAUUUUCACUAACUGUAAAACUCUGAACAUAAUAUCAACGAUCCAAACCCUUCAUCUUCCUAUAUCCUCUAAUAGAUCAUGUUUUCAAAAAAGAAAAUCCAAAAAAAAAAAAAAUUGAUGAGAAAAAUGAAGCAUAAGUGUAAACAACAAUCAAUGGUUAAAUUUUUAUCUAUGAUUUAUAUGAUUAUAGUGGCGAAUUUCGAAGUUAAGCUCUUCACGAAAGUUGUAAAACUUGUCAUUACAAGCGUUUGUAUAUAUAUUUCUAUAUUUUUUUACACUUCUACAUUAAUUAAAAAACUAUUAAAUACUUUACUUAAAUAACAGCCGUAAGAUAAAUGAGAGUAAAUAUGUACCAUUGGAUUCUAUUUCACUUAAAUAACAGCCGUAAGAUAAAUAAGUAUGUAUAUUCUUAUUUAGUAUUAUGUUUUUCAUUUGAUUAUAUAUUGGUUUAAAAUAUAUUUUCCUUAACGGGUAACGGGUCGGAUCAUAUUAUCUGUUAAUAUUAUCAGGUCGGGUCAUUUUACCCGUUUAUUUUAACGGGUGUUACACUACACAACCUGUUAAGAUAUCGAGUAUGACACGAACACAGAAAAUACGACACGAAUGCCAGGUCUACUUGUGCGAACUUUUUACUUGUCUUGCAUCUUCUUAUUUAAAUCCGAUAAAAUCUUUCCAAAGUAAACGAAUUUUUAGAAAUAAAAUAAGCAACGGAGCAAAAUACAAGUAAGCUUGUGGAUCUGGUCUCAAAAGCCCCAUCGAUAAUGAUGAUUCGGAGAAACAUUACCUUCCAAACUUAGCAUCCAUAAAGUAUUCUCAUUGAGAUAUCCGGAGUACCACCUUACUCCGGUAUCAAAGAUAAAACAUUAAACCCAUGAAGAAUCUUUCGCUCUAUGCUUAUCAAUACAUUUAUCAAUUUAAGAAUUUCAAACCAUAUUUGAAACAACCUGCAAGAAACAAACCAAUAAAAAAAAUUUACCUUGGCCCAAUUCUUGGAUCAAGGUUUUCAAUACUUGCAAUGUAGUACUAGGAAGGGAUUUCUUUCCUAGAGACUGGAUCGCGUGCCAAUAUCUAGUGAAGCUUAAACAAAAGUUUUAUGGAGACUUGGUUAUCGACAUGUGGGUCGAAAGCACUUUUUGAAUCCUUUUGUCAGACCCUAUGCAUCGAACCUGAGCAUUUUCGAUUGGACUACCUUGACUGGCUUAGUCAGAGCAUAUCAGAGCUCCAUUGGAAUAAAAUUCCUCUUAGGGAUUUCCUUGUCUGGAUGCCCCCUUUAGACUUACUAACAUACAAUGUUGCAGAAUAUACUUGACCUAGUACGUUGGUCCAGGAUAGAAGUAGUCGUACUCAGGGUCGGAGUUCAAAGCCACCUUCGGAUGAUUUUUGGAUCGGCCCCUUUCAAAUAUUCCCUUAAAUGGCAUAGAGCCCAGGUUUGAAUGUUAUAACCCAUAACUUUGCUAGUUGUAUAAACUUUCAGGGUGCCGGAGGCAGGACUGGCCCUAAGGGGGUGCCAGGGGUGAGACCGCACAGAGCCCCCGAUUUUUUAGAGGCCCCUGAAUUUAAUAACCUUUAUAAUGUACACAUAUAGAUAGAGUAUGUUGGCAACGUUGCCUUAGAGGAGUUGUCAAGCGCUGAUUCUUACAUUUAAUUGUGCACGGGUUCAACUCCAUGUGGAAUAAUUUUGGGCCUUUUUGAUCUACAUUAUUUUUUUUUUAAAUAUUUGUUAAUUUCUAUCAUUUUAAAAGAUAACUUUUGAAAUAAAUCUAUAUUUAGGAAUAUCAUAAUUAAUUAAAAUCCUACAAAGUUUGAAGAUAUAAUCUUUAAAAGGCCCCCUUUCCAUCCAUGACAUCAUUUAAUUGAAUACAUAUCAUUCGUUUACUUUUGGUCACCAUUUAAGCAUCAUCUAUUUUCAUUCCAUUUGAAGAUCAUUUAGUCAUCCAUAAAAAAUAAAACAAUUAUAGUACAACUUUGCUCACAACACUAAAGUGUAGGUGAGCAGGUGAUACUCGCACCGAAUUGAUUACCGUUAGAUUAAUUUGGUUUAAUUGAUUUAAGAUACGAAUCUCAAAUUUUAACUAAUCUAACGACAAUUAACCAAGCGAGGGUUAGAAUCAUCCUCACUUUAGGGCGAGAAAAAAAAAUGCAAUAAAAAACUAAUAGUUCAUUAUAAGAUGCUAGAAAUAUCAUAACUAGUGAUUUGUUUAGCUGUUGAUAAUAAAGAGCAUAAGUGGUUCUGAUUAUGAUAUAUGUACCGUGAUAUGAUAGGUACAAAGCCACCACACAUGCUUUUUGUAUUUAAAAAGUAAGGAAUUUCAAACCCAAAAACAUAGGGAAUGCAUACAGGUACAUAGCCACCAAACUAUGCUUCUUUUUUAUUUAUUUUCUUUUGCGUUUUUACCAAUUUAUACACUAGAAGAAAAAAUAUAUAAAUUAUAAAUGAAGAUAUAGCAACCAAAAUUUAGACCAUGUAAGGGCCUCUGUUUGAGUCUCCCAUAUGGCCUCCAAAAUCUUAGGACCGCCCUGGCCAGAGGGUGUACUGAACUUAUAGGUUAGGGGCUCAUGUGUCCGUACUCGUAGCCUGCCAACCAUUGCCGCGCAUAUUACAGUUUGAGUCUCCCAAGCUGCUAACCGUUUAUCAUGGGAUGGGCUAAGAAAGACUCCUUUAACAGUGCUACUUUGAAUUUUAAACUUGCAUUCAUGCGCGAAGUUUUCAAAUUUUAUGCUUUGUUCAAAGAGUGUGGGGUAUUCCCUACAUCACUAAAAAGAGUAAGGAAAGAACAUAUAAGAUAAAUAAAGUUUUUAUGGCAAAAAAAUAGGUUUGAUUCACAAGGGGGUGUGAUGAAUCUGAGAAGGAUUGCCUAUAUAUCUUCAGGAAGGAGAAUCAAAUCGGUGUAUUUCUAAGAAAAAGAUGAUAUAAUGUAAAUGUUGGAACCAAAUAUGCUCUGUUAGCGGUGGUUGAGCACAAAUCCAAGUAAUCCUUAACAAUCUGCAAAACAGUAAAACAACUGUAAGCAAACCUUAGGCUAGGGGGGAAUGUGCUGGCCAAAGGCUAUUCGAUGGUCAAGGUAGUGAAUGAUCUUUAAACUCAAGCAAUGGGCAAGAGAAUUAGAGUGUAAAGAUUGCGUUACCAUAUAUGAACCCUAGAUGGGUGUAUUUAUACUGUUGGAGUUUGAUUACUUGUGGCGCACGCCUAUCCUUAGAUUGUAUAGAUUCCAAGACUUAUAGGAUUUGAUUGUGUCCAUAUCCAGAUCAGAUGACUUGUUUUGCGGAACAAGCAUGGUCAUCCAACGAAGUCGCUAGGAGUGAAAGAUUUUAUAGUGUUUUUUAGGCUUUACGAAGUGAAGCCUCUCCCCUAAGAUUUUGAAUGAAUUCCCUUAAACUCACAUGAAGUCUAUGAAUCCUUAUUAAACUUCAUGCAUUUAUAACUCUUUUAAAGUCCUCAAAAAACUCAAUAAAAUACACCUCCUAAAGGACACUUAGAUAAAGAUAAAGAUAAAGAUUAAAAAGUUAAAAGAAAUUGAAACUAAGAAGGAAAAAUAGAAAAGCAUCUUAAAAAGGAGAAAUUGACUAAUUAGUCAUUGAAAAAAGACCGAAUUCAGAUGAUUAAAAUUCUAAAAGAGAAUCGGUAAAUAAGAAAAAAAAAACUCCUUAGAUUACAUGUGCAUAUGAUUCAAAAUUGGUAAGCAAAAUGCCAUGUGGGAUCCAUGCACUAAAGGAGGGAUAUGUACAUUUAUUUUUGUUUGACUAAGAUGCUUCACUAAAACACCAUAAGAAGGUACAAUGGACAACUCAAAAUGGUCCAUUCGAAACACAAACAUAAAAGCUUCAUCAAAAGAUAUUGUUGCAUCAAAACUAUCACAAACAGUGGCAAAGUCAGGAAUUGUCUGGAAGAGCGGUGAAAUUUAAAAGGGUAAAAGGUCCUAAAAAUAUUUAGACAACCAAUUUCUUUUAGAUAGUAGAUAAUAUUAAUUCAUUCAUAUUUUAUCAAUAAAAACAAUUUACAACUGUUGUCGCGUGAGGUUUCAUAUCAUGAAACCGUGGCAUAAUAGGCUCAUUACCAAUAAAAGCAAAAACAUCUAUCUCAAUAUAAACAACCAUGCCUUUACUUAAGCAUUGAUCUCUCAUGUUGUUACGCAGUUGUUUUUCACAAUAUUUGAGGUUUUUAAUAAAAUUUUUGUUGAAAACUUUUGAUAAUAGUUCAAAAUAAUAAUAAAAAAGAAGGAAAAAAAAUAGAAGUGGCUUGCAUCUGUAACAUUGUUAGCCACAACAAAAAUAAAACUUUGCGUUUCAACUUAAAUAGCUGUAAAUCCAAGAACCGUCACCUUUUUCUUCCUUCAAGUUUCAACUCCUUUAAACCAUUGCCUUAUGCAACAGUCGCGACUUGCACCAGAAAUGCCAAUAUUUGGACUUAUUUCCAAGUAUUCACUGGCAAAACCGAUGCUAAACGGGCAUUCACUUAUAUCGGUGGGAUAGAUUUUCGCCUAUAGUAAAGAUAAAAAAAAAAAAAGCGCGUAGAGGAGCAAUAACAUUCUCUGCAGGUUCCGUGCAGUAAAGAGGAAUCAAGGGGGCAGAUUCUCCCUCUUAGGGUUGAUUUCUGACGACCUGAGAUGUGGCCACACCUCCUUUGGCCUCUGUUCACCAGCGAUCACAAAGCAAAACAAAAAAAAAAUCAUAAUCAUAGAAAGAUAUAAAAAGUUAAAAAUCAAGAAAAUUGACAAUAAAUUUGAUAAAUAUUGAUGAACUACAUUUCUUAGUUUGCACUAUAAGGUAUUAAAAUUGUAUCAAUUUAGCCUUAACUGAACUAAUUGUUAAACUUUCAUUAAAUAUAUCAAAUAGUGUGCGUAAAGCCUUUAUAUGGACUAAUGUAUAAGUCAUAUUGGCACUAGAUUGACAGACAAGAAAAAACUCUGAUUUAGAAGUGAAAAAAAUAUUAUUAGACUGGUUGCGGAAUGCCUGGCGUUGCAAGAUGGCAUGUGGUUGGCUAAGGCUAAAGGCUUGACUCGUAUUAUGGUGGAGGGUGAUUUAAAACUGGUGAUUGAGUCUAUUAGUGGAUCCUAUAACCCCCCUUGGAGAUUGAAGACCAUCCUAGAAUAUAUUCGGUGGCUUGCCGGGUCGUUUGAGGAAAUUUGCUGAAAGCAUGUCCUUAGGAAAGCAAAUUUUCUGACGGAUACUAUUACUAUAGUGGGUUAUUCGGUCUUUGAUUUUCAUGUUUGAGAUAGAACUCUUCCUUUAGAAGCCCAUCAGGCUUUCCUCUUUGAUUCUAUCCAAACCGGAUGCCCCAAUGGCUUUUCUCUUUAAUGCAGGCAUUUUUCUAUUAAAAAAACGAAAAAAUUAAAUAGGCGCAACCAAGCUUUGUAGGUUUUUGUUUUAUUUUAGGUUGCUUAGUAAGGUGGGUUAUACUCUAUACUCUAGGUACAGAGAGAGAAAAGGUGGAAAUAAUAAAUGAAUGGAAAGAAUGAAUAGUAAAAAGCAAAAAUAAUUAGAAAAGAGGACAAUGAACGGUAAUUAAAAUAAAAAUACGAAAGAGAGGGAUUAAAAAAAACAAGACCCAUUCGAUUUUGUGAUUUCUGAUCUCCUAAAAACCCUACCUUUUGACCACUUGACGGGUCGGUUUGUUACCACAACACACACUCUCUCUCUCCUCCCCCUUCCCCUUCCCCUUCUCUCUCUUACCAAAACACCGGAACACCAAAACAACUCUCCCUCUCUCUCUCUCUCUCUCUCUCUCUCUUCAAGUUUUUCUUUCAUUUCACUCUGCGCUUUCUCAUGGUUUCCCAAUAAAACCCUAAUCUUUCUCCUCACUCACUCUCCAGGUACUCCAAUCAAACCCUAAUCACUCUCUUAAUCACUCGCUUACGGUAAGAUUUUCGGAUAACUAGGUUUGAUUGAUUUGAUUUGGGGUUUGUGGAUCUGCGUGUUUGGUUGCAGAGAAAAGUUGAAGGAAAAAAAAAUUGGGAAUUAAGCGUAGGAAUAUAUGUCCUUCAAUCAAUCAAGGUCGGAUAAGAACGAGACGCAGUACCGGAAAACAGGGCGAACCGCAAGCUCUAAUCAGCAGCACAGGGGAUACACAACAUCUUACCCUAAGGGCACCGGCGCCGGUGGGCCCGGCCCUUCCAUCUCCUCCAACCGCAGGUGCAUAUAUAUAUAUAUAUAUAUGUAUAUCUCUGUGUGUCUAUCGUAUCUACUUAUUGCAUAUGUGUCUUUGUGUAGAGUUUGUUUCUGAUCAGUUUUACUUGACUUUGAAGUUUUAACAAUCCAUGCAAUUAUAUUGCUUUGAUUGUAAUUUCAAAUUUGGGUUUUUUUAAAUACGUUUUGGAAUUUUUGAGAUUGUUGGAAGUUAGGGUUUGAUGAUUUUUAUUUCAAAUAUUCAGUUAUAAGAAGAAUAAUAACAAUGCACAAGGAGGACAAUCCAGGGCAAGUGUAACCACUGUAAAUACUCAGGAUUCCGGUAUUGCUUUUGCACAACGUGGCGUUGUACAAAACGGAGCCCAUGCACAGCCCCAAUUGCAUGGUACAGAUUUCGAAGUUUCUGUUCUCUUUCAUUCUAGAAAUUUAUAUGAUAGUGUCGUGAUUGUUUUAAUAGACUUUUAUGGGCAGUUGAAGGAGUUUGGGAAUCUGAGAUAAAUGGUUUUUUUUUUAUUAAAUCUGUGUUGCCCAUUUUGUUUGAUUCUCAUUUCUUGGCAAUGUUUUCCUGUGAUUGAUCUGAUGUAGGAGGUUCUGAUGCACCUGUUGCAAGCACAGCUUCCCGUACAGCUGAAGCAUCAGCCUCUCAGAGAAGCUCCCGAACUGUUCCAAAACCUCCCACUUCUCAAUCUGCCUCCAUGACUUCUGACACAAGAACACCCACUACACCAGCGAAGCGUAAGUUCACACUCUGGACCAUGGAUUUUGUUGUACUCAAUGUUGGGGGAAUGUUGGCGUAUUUUCACUGUCAUAUAGUAAUGUUGUGAUGUCAAUGCUAGAUUCUCUUGGCAGUGUUAUCCCAAAUAGUUGAUUUAGUAAUGAUUUUAACGUGCUGAUAUAUGAUUUAUGAUAUAUUAGUAAAUGCCAAUAAUCAGGUUUUAACAUUUUCUGUUGGUUUUAGCCCCAGGAGAUGCGUCCAAGGGCUUUGCCUUUCAGUUUGGGUCUAUAAGCCCUGGCUUCAUGAAUGGGAUGCAGGUAUUGUUAUAUGCUAGCGAACUCUUGAUUAAAAUUCUCUAAUUUCCUGUAUUUCUAAGCGCUGAACAAAUUAUAGCAUGUUUUUAAAAGUGGAAAGUUGUGUUCCUUGUAGAUUCCUGCUCGAACCAGCUCAGCUCCCCCAAAUUUGGAUGAGCAGAAACGUGAUCAGGUUAGCUUGUUUUUCUUCUCUCUCAUCUUCCUGCCUUUUUUUACUGAAUAGUCUGAUUGGUUCAACUGCACAUGAUGUUUUUUGGCAGAAGUGUAUGUAUACAGUAGUUUUUGUCUUCCUAUUAUGUCCUUCUGUUUACUUGUUUCAUGAAAUAUUAUUCUUUGUAUAUGAAUUUAAAAAUGACUUAAUUUCAAUGAGUAAUUUGGUAUCAUUAUGCUUUUCAAUUUUGUUUAUUAAUUUGUGAAAUCACUAUGUCAUGCUUGAACAUGCAGGCGCGCCAUGAUUCUUUUAGAGUUGUGCCUUCAGUGCCAGUCCCUACUGUUCCUAAACAGCAGUUACCAAGGAAAGAUUCAGCGUCCAUUGAUCAACCUAAUGCUGCUGAGGUUCAUAUGGUACCCAAGGUUAAAAAGGAUGUGCAAGUCUCACAUGCACCCCCUCCUAGUCAAACUCAGAAACCUUCUCCUCAUCCAAUGGCUGGGAUGUCCAUGCCAAUGCCAUUUCAUCAGCCACAGGUUCCAGUGCAAUUUGGUGGCCCCAACCAGCAGAUCCAAUCUCAGAGUAUGAGUGCCAGUUCAAUUCAAAUGCCAAUGCCUAUGCAAUUAUCAAUUGGUAGUACUCAAGUACAGCAGCCAGUGUUUGUUCAAGGUCUCCAGCCCCAUCCAAUGCAGCCCCAGGGAAUUAUGCAUCAGGGCCAGAACAUGACUUUUACCCCCCAAAUGGGUCCUCAAAUACCUCAGAUGGGCAACUUGGGGAUCAGCAUGGCAUCACAAUACCCCCAACAACAGGGUAGGAAGUUUGGCGGCCCUCGUAAAACUCCUGUCAAGAUUACACAUCCAGAUACACAUGAAGAGUUGAGGCUUGAUAAAAGGACAGAUUCAUAUCCAGAUAGUGGGCCAUCAGCCCCCAGGACUCACCCAAACAUUCCUCCUCAAUCCCAGCCUAUUCCAUCAUUUGCCCAUCCUCAUACUACCACCUUUUAUGCCAAUUCUUACAAUCCCAGCUCCCUAUAUUAUCCUGCUCCAAGUUCUCAUCCCUUAACUAGUAGUCAUAUGCCGCCCAAUUCACAAGCACCGAGGUUCAGCUAUCCAGUCAGCCAGGGUUCCCAACCUGUACCUUUCAUUAAUCCGUCAUCUCAUAGUACCCUGCCUGUUAGCAAGUCUGGGUCCCUUAUGCACAAUGUGGUGGAUCCACCUAACCUGGAACAUGCACGUGAUGUACAUAAUAUAAGUGCCUCUGUUCCAUCAGCAACUAUUCCUGUUGUAAUUAAACCACCUGCUGGAACUGUUGGAGAGAAGGUUGUCGACCCAUUGCCAAACAGCUCAACUGUUGUUGAAAAGGGUGAAUUAUCAAAGCCUGUGAGACAAUCUGGAGAAAUUAUCCAAUCUGCAGGUGACCAAUCCAUCCUCAAAUCAUUGCCGGUGAUGGAAAAAAUAUCUGCAAAUGCACCUGCCACUGCUUCAGUUGAAAAACAGGUUUCAAAUCUUUUGUCCUCUUCUGCAGCUGCCCCAACUGAGGAGUCUGCACCAGUUGUGAUCAUCACUGAACCCAGAAAAAAAGAAACUCUUAGUCGGUCAAACUCAAUUAUAGAUCAGCAAAAGAAUCCAGGGAGGAAGGGAAAUGUUCAACCACAGCUUCAGGUACUUAUUUUCAGUAUUUUUAGAUAACCUUCUAGUUUCUUCUCUUUAACAGUAGCAUUUAAAUUUGUGUCAUCAUUUUACAUCCUUGAUGACAGGUUGUUGGGCAGUCUAGCUCUACAUCAAGCGUUCUGUCUCAGUCUGCAGAGCAUGGUAUACCUUCUACUAGUGAUGUUUCUGGCACUGUAGAAGCUAAUACAACUCUUGCUCCAGUAACUAGUGCAUCUGUUUCAAAGUCAGCGAAGGAACCACUGUCAGAUUUUAGUGCUCCUACUGCUGAUUGUUUGGAAUCAAAGACUGAAGUUAUUGGGCAAGGCACUAUUCCCAUCUCUUCUGAAAUAUCUGCUCCUGGGAUGGUUGUUGGUACUUCAGAUUCCGUUCAUCGUACUCAACUAGACAGUUCUUUACAACCAGAUGAACAAGGACAGCGUGACUUGAUGGGGGCAGAACAAAGUUUGUCUGGAAAUUACAAACAGGAUACUGAAGCUCAUGGUAUUUCUGCAGAAUCCAUCUCUGUAAAACCUCUGGAAUCUGCUAAAGUACCUGCAGAUCAUUCUGUUGUGAAGGAAACAGCUAAGGGAAGUACUGUUGCAAUCUCAGACACUGCACAAGGAGGGCAGGGCCAUUAUGAGUGUCUCCAUGCAGAAUCUGGUGGAAUGGAUGCCUCUUUAAGCAGAAGUGAUAGUAUGGGUGGUAGUGAAGUUUUUUUUUCAAAAUCUAACAAAUUAGAGCAGCAUUCUUCUUCUGUUCAAACUACCGAACUUUCGGGUAGAACUUCAAAAACUGAAACUGAAGGUACAUGUGAGGAGAAUAUUGGUGGUGGUGAGGGAAAUAUUGAGAAUAUUGGUAGUGGUGGGGAUUCUCGUUCAGAGUCAGACUUCAGGGACAAACCUGAACUGAAUAGAACUAAGAGUACUAUUUCAAAGGGGAAGAAGAAAAGAAAAGAAAUUCUUUCUAAGGCAGAUGCUGCUGGCGUGACCUCUGAUCUUUAUGGGGCAUACAAGAACCCUGAAGAAAAGAAGGGUAUUGAAAACACUGAAAGUAUUAUGACCAGUAUAAUUUCAAAGCAGGUAGCUACUGAUGCUCCUCAGCAAGAUGCUGUAGGGAGAGAGAAAGAUGCACCGGUUAAAGCUGAGCCAGAGGAUUGGGAAGACGCUGCUGACAUCUCUACCCUAAAACUGGAAACCUCAGAUACUGGAGAGCUGGUCUGUGGAGUGGAUGAUUCUGACAAAGAUGGACAUGAACAUGGGGCGAAGAAAUAUUCCAGAGAUUUCCUUAUGAAAUUUUCUGAGCAAUUUACUGAGCUUCCAGAAGGUUUUGAAAUUUUGUCUGAUAUAGCAGAGAUCUUGGAUGCUAAUGUGAAUGCUGCUACUUCUAUUGAUUAUGAUUCGCUCCCUAGUCCGGGAAGAAUUGUUGAUAGGCAAGGAGGGGCCGCUAGACUUGACCGUCGUGGGAGUGGAAUAAUGGAUGAUGAUAGAUGGAAUAAGGGAGGUGCUGCCAAUUUCCGAACUGGCCAAGGACCAAAUUUUGGUGUUUUGAGGAAUCCACGUGCACCGACAUCAGUUCAGCAGCAUGUUAGAGGGAUCCUGCCUGGGCCUGCUCACUCUGUUGGUCAUCAGGGAGGGAUGCAAAGAAAUAAUUCUGAUGCUGACAGGUGGCAGAGAGCUACAAAUUUUCAACCUAAGGGCUUGAUGCCUUCUCCUCAUACUCCAUUACAGGUGAUGCACAAAGCUGACAGGAAGUAU